GACGAACGCUGGCGGCGUGCUUAACACAUGCAAGUCGAACGGAAAGGCCCUUCGGGGUACUCGAGUGGCGAACGGGUGAGUAACACGUGGGUGAUCUGCCCUGCACUUUGGGAUAAGCCUGGGAAACUGGGUCUAAUACCGAAUAGGACCGCGCGCUUCAUGGUGUGUGGUGGAAAGCUUUUGCGGUGUGGGAUGGGCCCGCGGCCUAUCAGCUUGUUGGUGGGGUAAUGGCCUACCAAGGCGACGACGGGUAGCCGGCCUGAGAGGGUGACCGGCCACACUGCGACUGAGAUACGGCCCAGACUCCUACGGGAGGCAGCAGUGGGGAAUAUUGCACAAUGGGCGCAAGCCUGAUGCAGCGACGCCGCGUGAGGGAUGACGGCCUUCGGGUUGUAAACCUCUUUCACCAGGGACGAAGCGCAAGUGACGGUACCUGGAGAAGAAGCACCGGCCAACUACGUG
rnacentral:rRNA from 1 species